AUACAUACCUGGCAGGGGAGACACCAUGAUCAGGAAGGUGGUUUUCCAGGGCGAGGAUUAUCCAUCGCACUCCGGAGGUGCUGGACCCUGAGAUGUCCCCAAAUGUGGGAAACUCGACUUCAUAAUUUGUGGUAGUGGGGGACUGCGUUCACACUCUCCCAUA